GACGAACGCUGGCGGCGUGCUUAACACAUGCAAGUCGAACGGAGAUAAUAGCAAUAUUAUCUUAGUGGCGGACGGGUGAGUAACGCGUGGGCAACUUGCCUCGGACUGGGGGAUAACACAGGGAAACUUGUGCUAAUACCGCAUAACAUGAUUGAAGGACAUCCUUCGAUCAUCAAAGGAGUAAUCCGGUUUGAGAUGGGCCCGCGUCCGAUUAGCUAGUUGGUAGUGUAAUGGACUACCAAGGCGACGAUCGGUAGCCGAACUGAGAGGUUGAUCGGCCACAUUGGGACUGAGACACGGCCCAGACUCCUACGGGAGGCAGCAGUGGGGAAUAUUGCACAAUGGGGGAAACCCUGAUGCAGCAACGCCGCGUGAAGGAUGAAGGUUUUCGGAUUGUAAACUUCUUUGAUUGGGGACGAAUAAUGACGGUACCCAAAAAACAAGCCACGGCUAACUACGUGCCAGCAGCCGCAGUAAUAC
rnacentral:rRNA from 1 species